rnacentral:lncRNA from 1 species
CUCAACUCAACUCAACUCUAUAUAUUGACUCAGCAAUAUCAAGCAUCAAAGCACAUCAACUCUAUAAAUCAAGCAUGUGCAAUCAAGUCCGGUAUGUCUCGUUCUAUAUGUUUUAGUUUCAUCCAUGUAUUCAGCAAGAUCUUUACAUACAUACAUGAUACAUAUUUACAUGCAUACAUACAUAAAUUACAUAUAUAUUAGUACAUGCAGGGUGUUGCAAAAUGGUAUCGAUUUCUCAUCAGAACCUACAAACAUCCUUAGACAGAUUAAAAGUUUGUAGAAUUCAUGUACCUAUUUUGCUUUGUCUGCUCUCUUUGCAGCGCACAGAAGGCAUGUCUUAGCGUCGAUUCUUGCAGUUUUUUCUUCCUUGUGUGUCACUGUUGACCUGCAUAGAUCAGUGUAUCGGAUGAUACUGAGUAAUACCUCGUCUUGGUGGCAACUUCCGUAAAAUGAAAAGGACCAAAAUCGAAGGUAAUAUCUCCACCAACUGCCCAAUAAAAGAAAACAAAACGAAAAGAAAAAGUUUCUGAGGAUAGUUGAAUGCCAUCUUUGUAAUCAACAUCAAGAAACAACAUUAAAAUACUUAUAUAUAUAUAUAUCAUCAAUUUCAGUAAUUCCUCCCCAUUUUGGUAGCAAAAUAGAAAAAAAAGUUCAGUCAGUUUUCUUUCAAUUUCCCCUAUUUUAGAGAGCUAUAUAUAUAUAUACAUGUUCAACAGAGAUACCUAGAAGUUAGCCUCUAGCCUUUUAUAUAAACAUAAGCAAUUAAAAGAAAGAGAAAAGAAUUAGCAAGACAUGAAGAAAAUAUUAUCAACUAUACUCUCAGGUAAAAUUAUUAUCCCCAAAGUUCGAGAACUAGUUUGCAAAUAAUGAUAACAUAAAGUCGCAACUCACAACUGCAUCUAAAAAUUUCUUCCACUUAACAAUCUGAUGGCAAAGUCUUAUAAAUUGCUUACGAAAUUUAUUGAAAUAUGCAUUAAAUUUAGCAGCAAAAUAAACAAGGAAACAAGGAAUUGGCAAUCUUCUCGGUUUUCCUAUGGCAAUGAAAAGGGUUAAGCAACCUCCACACUGUAUUUCAAUAUGAUUGUUUCAAUCAUGAGAAAAUUAGAAACAUGAAGAAAUAUUUAUUAAACAUACCAG